GCUUCGCAUCCCGCCUCUUCACUGCCGUCUUGGUCUGCGCCGUGUCCCCUCUGUUUUUUCAGGAGCUUUUUCAUCUUCCCUGCCACGCCAACGACCCGAACCUUUGGGCGUUCUUUUGCAGUUGCCUCGAUGCCCUCUUCCUUCAUUUUGACCGGCUUUUGCCUGCGUAUAAGCCCCGUAUUGUCUUCUCCGUCUUUGGUCGGGGGCGAAUCAGAGCCUGCUUUACCUGGGUGUCUCCGCUGCUGUCCGUCUAGCUCUGUUUCGAGAUGUUUCUGACUGUUGUCUCCCUCACGAACGGCGACUCUGUCCGGAACCUGACUCCUGCCGUGCUGAGUCGUGUUCUUGUCGUGUUCUCCCAGAGAGACUGCUGCGGUUGGAACGUGUGGCUGAUCCGGUUCGCUGUAGGUUCGGUGCGUAUCCCACCCGUUUCCUUCUGCCUUCUCUUGACUAACCCCCUCCUUCGCUAUUGUAAACGCCUGUUGCCGCCGUCGCCGCUCAGCCUCCCGUUGGUCCUUCUUGAUCGGGCGGUUUGAUUUCGUGACUUCAGAAGUAGAUGCGUCGUUGUCGUGGGGAUCCGCAGGCGAGGACUGCGGCCAGUCGACCUCACUUUUGUUCGGCAUCUUGCGUCUGUCUUUCUGGGGCACAUUUGCGCCUGCUUCUCCGGCCCCAUUUUCUGGUAUCCCUGUGGCAGCCUGCUGUCGAUAUUCCUUUUUUCUCUGUUUCUUUGUCUGUUUGCGCAAAUCUCGUUUUUCCUUCUUGCUCAACUUUCCCGCGUGGCGUGCUGCCUGUCCGGCGAACAGGGACGUUUCCGUGGUAUUUUCUUUUUCAGACUUUUUCGCGUUGUUCCGGGUACCCUUCGUCGUCUCGUCGGAGCACGACUGCGCCGCAGUGGGAUGAGCCGCCACGUCCGUGUCUUCUUCCUUCCUUUUUUUCCCCUUCCGCCGCCCAAAGGAGGCUACUGCUGUGGCGCCGGCUGCUGCUUUCGUAAAGGCUCCAGCGAGUAGUCUUCUCUGAGGUUGUUUCGCAUUCGUGUUUCGAGGCCGUGUGUCGUGUGACUGAGAAGUACUUGUUUCAGGCAUUUUCUCCAGGGUAGGCGUUUUUUGUGCCUUUCGCUUUCCGAUAAUCUUCACUUUCGGCAUUUUCAGG
rnacentral:lncRNA from 1 species